rnacentral:rRNA from 1 species
GACGAACGCUGGCGGCGUGCUUAACACAUGCAAGUCGAACGGUGAACCAGGGCUUGCCCUGGGAAUCAGUGGCGAACGGGUGAGUAACACGUGGGCAACCUGCCCCAGACAUCGGGAUAACCAUUCGAAAGGAUGGCUAAUACCGGAUAUGACCACUUUGGGCAUCCAACGGUGGUGGAAAGGAUUCUGGUCUGGGAUGGGCCCGCGGCCUAUCAGCUAGUUGGUGGGGUAAUGGCCUACCAAGGCGACGACGGGUAGCCGGCCUGAGAGGGCGACCGGCCACACUGGGACUGAGACACGGCCCAGACUCCUACGGGAGGCAG